UAGGGAAGACAAGCAGUCGCUGCCGCGCAAGCGGGAGAGGAAAGUCUGGACUUCGCAAGAGAGGAUGCCAGCGAAAGGCUGGGGGCCGUAAGGCUACGGAAAGUGCAACAGAAAAUAUUCCGGACCAAGCGCAAGCUUGGUCACAGGGUGAAAUGUCCGCUUUAGGAGCGCGACCGCAUCUAGGGGAGACCUUAGAGCGUGGUAAACCCCAUCCGAAGCAAGCCAUACCGGGACAAUACAGUUCUCUGCUGUGUCUCAAAAAGGCGCUUGAGGAUCUUGGUGACAAGAUCCCUAGAUGAAUGACUGCUUCUUGAUGCGCAAGCAUCGAAAGACAGGAUCCGGCUUAACGUCUUCCCUUUUUU
rnacentral:RNase_P_RNA from 1 species